UGGCAAGCGAAGUAUGACAUCAUCUGUGAUAAAUGUUCUGCUUUGAUUCAACAUUAUUUUGAAACGAUAUCAUCGCAUAACAGUUGAACUGGUAUUUACAACCUCUCUUAAUACAUAAACUUCUGAUUAUGCAAGUUGAGCUCAGUCACUACUUGUCCUUUCAUCUCAUCAUAUCCGUGGUUUAGCUAAUCAGCACUUGAAUGUAUCCACCCUGUAAAGAGGGAACCCUCAUCAGCUUCUUGGAAUUGAAACCCAUGCAAGGUUUGACAGGGCAGAGAUGAAGUUUUCACACUUUCUACCAGAGGACGCACCUUGGUCAAGGCAGGCAAAGUUGAUGUGGACCAAAAUGCGACCCGGAAACAGAUGGAGCGUGAAGUGGUAUUUUUUAUUGUACACAGGCAAGGUGUUGAGCAGCUGGUAGGUUGAAUGGUCAAUGGCUGUGGCAGCGAGGGCUUUGAUGGGUGAGUGACCUGAUAGCAAAAAAAAACAGAAUUAGUUAAGAGUUCUAAGACAAGAGUCACAAACUACAGGCUUAGUUGACUGAUCUACCAAUGGUGAUUGGCAGAAUCAUCUGGCACCUGCUUGCUGUCCAGGCUGCUCCUUAAAACCAAUGUUGAUUGCAAUGAGCUGCAGAUGCACUCCCAGGUCUGCCAAGGUUGAACUCGUGCCACAUAAAACAGGAAGUGUAACAAUAAAAGACAGUAGAGAGGAGUGUGGGCUAGGACCACCAGUUUUUUGUUGGUUUGUUUCAAAGAAACAUCCUAAUCAUAGUAAAUAAAAUGCUAUGAUUGUUGCUACUGUGUGUACUGAUUCUGUAUUGUUUUGCAAAGAUCAUUGACCAAGUAGGAUAGCCCAUUUAUUAGGUUGAUGCAUGUUCAAAGAAAGACUUUUUCGGCCUUGAGGUGUUUGAGGGUUGCUCCAACAUGUUUUUUUUUUUUCUUCUUCUCAGAUUACACACAAAAGGCUGUCUUUGCUUUUUC